rnacentral:rRNA from 1 species
UACAGAGGGUGCUAGCGUUGUUCGGAAUCAUUGGGCGUAAAGGGCGUGUAGGCGGUUUGUUAAGUCAUGUGUGAAAUCCCUCGGCUCAACCGGGGAACGACGCAUGAAACUGGCAAGCUAGAGUACCAAAGAGGGGGGUGGAAUUCCCGGUGUAGCGGUGAAAUGCGUAGAGAUGUGGAGGAACACCGAUGGCGAAGGCAGCCCCCUGGGUCAAGACUGACGCUCAUGCACGAAAGCGUGGGGAGCAAACAGG